rnacentral:rRNA from 1 species
CCCUUAGAUGUUCUGGGCCGCACGCGCGCUACACUGAUGCAUUCAACAAGCCUAGCCUUGACCGAGAGGUCCGGGUAAUCUUUGAAACUGCAUCGUGAUGGGGCUAGAUUAUUGCAAUUAUUAAUCUUCAACGAGGAAUGCCUAGUAAGCGUGAUUCAUCAAAUCGCGUUGAUUACGUCCCUGCCCGUUGUACACACCGCCCGUCGCUCCUACCGAUUGAAUGUGUUGGUGAGGAGCUCGGAUUGGCAGCAGUUGGUGGUUCGCCACCGGCUAUUGCUGAGAAGUCCUCCAAACCGCCCCAUUUAGAGGAAGGAGAAGUCGUAACA